AACGAACGCUGGCGGCGUGGAUAAGACAUGCAAGUCGGACGGGACUGUUUCUAGUAGCAAUACCGGGAAUAGUUUAGUGGCGAACGGGUGCUUAACACGUGGGCAACCUGCCAGGAAGUGGGGGAUAGCUCGCCGAAAGGCGAAUUAAUACCGCAUGUGAUUAGAGAGGACAUCCUUUCGAAAUUAAAGUCGGGGCAACCUGACGCUUCUUGUGGGGCCCGCGGCCUAUCAGCUAGUUGGUGAGGUAACGGCUCACCAAGGCUUUGACGGGUAGCUGGUCUGAGAGGACGACCAGCCACACUGGGACUGAGACAUGGCCCAGACACCUACGGGUGGCAGCAGUCGAGAAUUUUUGACAAUGGGGGAAACCCUGAUCGAGCGACGCCGCGUGGAGGAUGAAGGUCUUCGGAUUGUAAACUCCUGUCAUUGGGGAACAAUGCACAGAUAUUAACUGUAUUUGUGUUGAUAGUACCCGAAGAGGAAGAGACGGCUAACUCUGUGCCAGCCGCCGCAGUAA
rnacentral:rRNA from 1 species